CUAGUACCUGGGAUUACAGUACAGCUAUGUACAGGUAUGUCUGGGGCACGAAGAAUGAAGUGAUUAUCUCUGCAGGUCCUCCUGUUUUCAAGGAGACUUUGAAUAAAGCAGAAAUAAUGAGCACCUGAACCAAGGCAUCAACACGGGGCUGGAGAGGACUAGAAGCACUAAUAAAGUCCAAUCCACAGCUGUUAUUAAAACUGUAAGCGGGAGGAUAGAGGUCCUAUUUCAUGACUGAGGAGCUUUGGUGGAUACUACAGCCACACAUUUGGAUGGAAGGUAGACGACCGGAUAAUUCUUGUGCUCUGAAUGGAAGCAGUUUAUUGAGCUUCCUCCCACCCCAGUACAAUAAAUGAAGAGACUCACAAGAUUAAGGAGUGAUAAGAGUACACCGCUUCAAAAAAAAACAAAUCCUGUGCAAGGGGAAUAGUGAGCAAAUGAGAAAUAAGUUACAUGCAUCUACCUCCAUGCCUCAGGCCUGAUAUAAAGAGCUCUGAAGAAACAAAAAAGACUCACGUUCAUUCCUUGCCUUUGACACUUUCCAACCAUGAAGUCUUAAGGUCUGAUCCUUUCAAAGGCGGGAGACAGGAAUUCUGUUUGCAUGUUACCAGAGAUGUCCAAAUGCCUGUCACUUUUUCCUUAAUGUGGUAUCAAAGCGUAUGGAACUGGGCAGAACUCCAAAAUAUUGUGGUCAUUUUUAUCAGCCUUUAAGCCGGACCAACUUUAUAAAAGUUAUACAGUAGAUUGAAACCGACAGCAGACAAUCAAAAUCAAGGUCAAAUGAAAGGCCUAGACAUCCAACCCACUGUCAAUCUAGAAGUUGUGUAGAGAAGGAAGAGCUGAGGACACAAUUUCACACGGAUCAAAGACCACGGGGCCAAGGGUGCUGCAGCUCAUGCCUGCUAUUCCAGCAACAUGGGAGUCUGAGGCAG
rnacentral:lncRNA from 10 species